ACGGAAGGCAGCAGUGGGGAAUAUUGGGCAAUGGACGAAAGUCUGACCCAGCGACGCCGCGUGAGGGAAGAAGGUCUUCGGAUUGUAAACCUUAGUCAACAGGGACGAAGAAGAUGACGGUACCUGUGGAGGAAGCCACGGCUAACUACGUGCCAGCAGCCGCGGUAAUACGUAGGGAGCAAGCGUUAUCCGGAUUUACUGGGUGUAAAGGGCGUGUAGGCGGGACAGCAAGUCAGAUGUGAAAGCACGAGGCUCAACUUCGUGUCUGCAUUUGAAACUGCUGUUCUUGAGUGCUGGAGAGGCUAACGGAACUCCUAGUGUAGCGGUGAAAUGCGUAGAUAUUAGGAAGAACACCAGUGGCGAAGGCGGUUAGCUGGACAGUAACUGACGCUGAGGCGCGAAAGCGUGGGUAGCAAACAGGAUUAGAUACCCUGGUA
rnacentral:rRNA from 1 species